UCUUCGAUAGCUCAGCGGUAGAGCGGUUGGCUGUUAACCAAUAGGUCGUAGGUUCAAGCCCUACUCGAGGA
rnacentral:tRNA from 1 species